rnacentral:rRNA from 1 species
CCCAGACUCCUACGGGAGGCAGCAGUGGGGAAUAUUGCACAAUGGGGGGAACCCUGAUGCAGCGACGCCGCGUGGGUGAAGGAGCGUUUCGGCGCGUAAAGCCCUCUCGGCAGGGAAGAAGGAGGACGGUACCUGACCAAGAAGCCCCGGCUAACUACGUGCCAGCAGCCGCGGUAAUACGUAGGGGGCAAGCGGUAUCCGGAGUUACUGGGUGUAAAGGGGGCGCAGACGGCAGCGCAAGCCAGGAGUGAAAGCCCGGGGCCCAACCCCGGGACUGCUCUUGGAACUGCGCGGCUGGAGUGCAGGAGGGGCAGGCGGAAUUCCUGGUGUAGCGGUGAAAUGCGUAGAUAUCAGGAGGAACACCGGUGGCGAAGGCGGCCUGCUGGACUGCGACUGACGUUGAGGCCCGAAAGCGUGGGGAGCAAACAGGAUUAGAUACCCCGGUACAG